UUCCUGACCGUGGGCGGCCCACUACCAGACGGUUACACACGUCGCCAUCAGUCCGUUGCCUCCCCCGCCUAUAAAAAGGGGGGACUCAGAUACGUUAUUUUUUUAAGCUCAUUUUUCUUAUCUCAAAACUCUGCUAAAUUCUCCGUUCGAGCACUCCAUUCUUGUUGAGGCAGAGAACUGACUUGAGCGUCGGAGGGUCUUGCCGGAGCAACCCCACCUCCGGUUUAGACUUCCCUUGCAGGUCCCGGCGACGACCGCGGCCUCCUCAACUCCAGCUUCUCCGGCGCAGGCGGAUUUUUGCACCAACA
rnacentral:lncRNA from 1 species